AUGAUGGUUCCUUCGUCUCCAGCAGCUUACCGGCCGCACCGCCCUACUCAGAGCCCCGGUACGGGGGUGGGGGGUGGGCCGGGGCUCUGUCACAACCUGGGAGGGGUCACCACCUCCCCACUCGCGAGCGGGGGAGGAGCUGGGGGCGUAGGAGGGAUGCCGGCUGGGGGAGGGAUGCUGGGGAAUUUCUUUGGCAGCCGCAGAGGGAAAGUUCCUGGUCCCCUGACGAUGACAUCUCCAACUCCUCAGGGUCCACCGAGUCCCCCUGAUGAUAUCAUCACCCCCCCACUACCCCGCCCCCGCACCUCCCAUCCCCCACCCAUCCUCCCCUUCCCCAUGCCCCUCCCCAUCAGCAAACCUCAGUCAAUCGGACUCGGGAGGAGUUGGAGGGGGCGGAGGUACGGGAGGGGUGCCGUCCAAGCUCCAAGCUUUGCACGCCCAGUAUUGCCACGGCAACAGUGGAGGAGGCGCAGUCAGUGUUCCUGGUCACCAGCAGCAGCAGACGCCACCCCCCGCCCUACCAUCAUCAUCAUCGCUACCCACAUGCAGAGCAUGCCGCAGCACCACGCCCUUUCCCAAAGGUUCCCCGUGCCCCGGCGGCAGGGUCCGCCCGGCUGCGCUCCCUCUCAUACCCAGCAGCAUCUGAGGAUGCAACAUGGCGGCGUCCAGCACCCAAGCUACAACAUGGGCCUCGGGCUUCUACUACACGCCCCCGCCGUUGUCCCCCCACUCCCCCGUUACCCCAACUACCCCACACGGACUCUACCACUCGCACCCCAUGGCAGGGGCGGGCCGGGGGGAGGCGCCAAGCUCCCGCUAACCAUGUCACACUCUCAGCCCCACCCCCACGCUCACACGCACUCUCACAACCACGCCAUGCACACACACUCCCCACUCAGCCCCUCCCCAUCCGCUUCCCCCUCCACCCACUUCAUCUUCUCCACCCCACCUCCCCAAACACCUUCAGCACGACUCGUCAGCCAGACACCCCCACAGCCCUACGCCCCUCAGUAUCCGCCCCUCUCCUCCAUCCCACCUCCUCCUCCGCACUCCCCCUUACCUCCCCCCAUUGACCGCCCCACUCUCCCCGCACCCAGGGGCAGGGCCAGGACAAGGGGGUGGCCCCAAAUCGAAGCCCGUCAGCCGGAUCAGCACAGUUGUGUAAAGAAGCAGACACGCAGGACCGUAGUCCGUCACCCCCGUAGGGGGAGGAGGAGAGGGGGAGGCCAAAUACAGGUGUAUCACAGCGGCCGCUUGGGAAGGAGAAGAGCCCUGAUCGCAGGGAGGAGGAAACUACUCAGCCUGUGUUACUUUCACAUCCACUUCCCCCGCAGGUAG
rnacentral:lncRNA from 1 species